CUGAUUAUGCACGUCAAUAAUUUCAGAAACACCUGCGAAAUUUCAACCCUCCUAAAACGACGUUGCCUCUCUGUGUACCCAAAAUCUUCUCCUUAUCUCCCUCCUAUUUUUUCCCUUUCGUUUGAACUAAGCUCAUAAUUUUUUAACCUCAGCCCCCAAACGAAAACUUCUCAAACAAAAAGCCCCAAGUCCUGAUUUCUUUCUGAUCGUCAUUGAUCUCUCACUGGCAUCUUCACUGAUCGUCGAUCUCUCUCUCCGGCGUCGCAGGGUUUCGACAUUUCGCUGGGAAGAUUUCGAAUAUUCUGGAUUCGGCUUCGUAGCUAUAUUCGUCCGUGUAUACAAUAUAGAAGCAAGCUAUGCUCUAGGGUUUUCAAUUGGGCAGAUCGGGGUUUCAAAUAUUUGGGGAAGGUUUCUUAAGCUUCGAUUUCAUGGCGCACCAAUUGCUUUGCCUAUAAGUGAUUUCGAUUCUCUGAUUUCUAUGUAAGGUUUUUAAUUUUUCGUUAACUUUAUUGUGUAUUGGGUCUUAUAUUUUGUUGCGUUUUAUAUGAGUAUGCAAACUGAUGCGAGUGAUUGAGAGAAUUUGAUUUACAAAAUUGGUAACUAUGAUUUUACCUUCUUUAGUGUAUUACUCUCUUUUGUUUCAGCUUGAUUUCUCUAAAUUUCUCAGUUCCCUCAUAGACCUAGCGCUGACCCACAGUGGCAGAGUUGAAGAUUUGAUAGGCUUGAUUUCAUUUUGGAGUCUUCUCAAGAACCCUUGGGUUAGCAAAUUCAGAAUCAUAAUUGGGUCAAAUUUGGCUCUUCUAUAAUUAGGAUAGGAUCAUCAAACUCUCAAGGAUGUCCUGCCCAAGGCAAGUACCCACUUCUAAAAGUUUCGGAAAUUUUACCAGUUCAAGUCAUAUAUGGCAAGUUUAUGUUAAGCAUUGUUUGUGAUCUUAAAAUGUUCAGGAUUCCAAGGCAUUGUUGGUGGGACAAAGUUUUGAUUUAUUAUUAGAUAGAUAAAGAACUUUAGGAGAUAAGAAUUUAUGCAUAUACUACAUCAACCAUUGGAUUCUCUUGCAAGGUCCUAAAUGGUACAAGUACAAUAUAGUAUAUACCCAUUAAUGCCAUGUGAACUGUACCAAUGGUUUUAUGCAUUGUGAAAUGAACUCUUCCAUUCCUCCAAAUACAUGUGUAUAGGAUUGGAUAAGGCCAUGGAUAUGUGAUAUUGUCUAACACUGUAACCAAAUUAGACACUUGGAGUUGGAACAUCCACUUUUAAUGAUUGCCCAGGUACAAGAAGCUCACAAUUGAUAGUAAAGAAUAUAUUAUGACCUCUCAUGUAGAUGGGAGAUUGUAAUCCCAAUAAUUUAUAGACUUCUGGAAAAAAAGUAGUUCUAAUACUGAAAGUUGAAUGCUUCAUGCUUUGGCUGUAACACGAAUGUGUUUUGUCUGGUGUGUUGUCGGGUGCUUGGGACACUUUGGAGACCUAUAGAUGGAGAUACCUAUUGGUGCCAACGGAUUCGCUCUUUUCUGCCCUUCCAUGAAACCAAAAAUAGCAAGUUUGCUGCUAAUAAAAAAUUGGAACUUAGAGCCGUAUUGCAGGAACUAGAGCUAUUUUAAGCUAUAUUCCUUACAGUAAUUGUAAUUUCAAUUUCUGUACAGUAAUUGUAGAUUUUGUUUUUGUACUACUGGUUUGUUUCACUUUGGCUACCAAUUUACCAAGCUCUUACAUUUGGUCUUUGGCUGGUUUUUGUCGUUGGGUACACAAUAUGUGGUCUAUGUGCUUUCAAAUUUAGUGUCAUAGCAUUCCUUCAUGACAAUUGCCAC